rnacentral:lncRNA from 10 species
GAGGUGCCACUCUCUAAAACAAAAAUAAAAAUCCUUCCUAGGUCCCACUUUCCCCUCAGCUCCUGCUCCAUCUCUCUGCUUGCCUUUAGAGCUAAACUAGCAGUUAGCCAGGUCCUACUUUCUCCACAUACUGGCUUGUGGGCCUUCAGGGUUAGCGCUGUGAGCUGGGUGUCAUGGGCCUUAACGCUGACUCAUAAUGUGAGCCAGUGCUUCCCAUAUUACAGCUAGGGGUGCCAGGGGCCUGAUGAAUUGGGGUCAUUUGGUUAUGUGUCAGUCCUUUUCACCUCUGGCUAUGAACUCCUUGCCUGGGGCCUUGCUCUGCUCAUCUCUGCAUGCCCAUUAUCUAGGACAUUGCCAGAGACGUAGUAGGAGCAAAAUCAGUAUCUGCUGAGUACAUGACCAAACACGUAGAUGAAUUUCAGGCCCAGUUCAAAGUGUCUGACCACUUCGGUCACACAGGCCUUGCCUUCCUCUGAACUUCUGGAGCACUUCUUGCCCUGGCUAGGUAGGUGACACUUAGCCACAGUUCCGUGUCACAUUUUCCCUAUUCCUAUGUGGCUGUUUAUCUCCAAUGGUGUACUAACUCGCAGGCGCCAGGCUUAGCCUUCCUGGAUAAAGCUCGCUAGUGCCUUGUAGGCAGCCUGUGCCUUCCACGGCAUCGACAGCAGUCAAUAAAUAUAUGUGGAAUGGCGGAAUGCAUCCGUCCACUGAUAUAAAUUGUGAAAUAUUCUAAUUGGUACACUCUUCCAGGUACUGUGGGCCAUUCCAACAAAAGACAUGGCUAUUUCUUGUAGGAGUUUGCACAAUAAAAGAAUGAGAGGUUGGAUAAAGAAUGACAGAGGCCUAUUGUUGCCACAUAGGAGCCCACCUUU